UACGUAGGGUGCAAGCGUUGUCCGGAAUUAUUGGGCGUAAAGAGCUCGUAGGCGGUCUGUCGCGUCGGACGUGAAAACCCAGGGCUCAACCUGGGCCUGCGUUCGAUACGGGCAGACUAGAGUUCGGUAGGGGAGGACUGGAAUUCCUGGUGUAGCGGUGAAAUGCGCAGAUAUCAGGAGGAACACCAAUUGCGAAGGCAGCUCGCUGGGACGUUACUGACGCUGAGACGCGAAAGCGUGGGGAGCAAACAGG
rnacentral:rRNA from 1 species